rnacentral:rRNA from 1 species
UACGAACUGUGCGAACGUUAUUCGGAAUCACUGGGCUUAAAGGGUGCGUAGGCUGCGCGGAAAGUUGGGUGUGAAAUCCCUCGGCUCAACCGAGGAACUGCGCCCAAAACUGCCGUGCUCGAGGGAGACAGAGGUGAGCGGAACUUAGGGUGGAGCGGUGAAAUGCGUUGAUAUCCUAAGGAACACCGGUGGCGAAAGCGGCUCACUGGGUCUCUUCUGACGCUGAGGCACGAAAGCGUGGGGAGCAAACAGG